AUGGACUCAGACACUGUUCCUGGCAUGGUGGGAAGAUUGAAGUCAGUGAGAAUGGACAGCACCUGCCAUCGAGCAACACGAAUCCCUGUGAGGUCACAGGUAAAGUCCGUCCAGCGUCUGGGGCCAGUGCUGAUCUUUGCCAUCACCUUUGUCUUUAAAACCUACUCAGACUUCUACAUUGUGAGGGUUUUUUUGUUUUGUUUUGUUUUUUGGGUUUUUGUUUUUUGUUUUUUGUUUUGUUUUUGUCUAUUUUUGCUUUUCAAACAGAGACUUGCCCCCAGUCUACCUGCUGUGUGUGCAGAGCAACACGCUGGGAACCAGUGAGUCACAUGGGUCUGGGGACACAGGUCUUACAGAAACCAGACCUACAGUACAGGCUGGGUUCUGCCUUGCCUGGUCAGCAGCCACAAUCGCUCCCGAACAUGACUUUUAAGACAGUCAAACUUUCCUUUGGAGAGAAAUGAAUUGAGGGACUUUGAGAUAUUCCCUACUCCUCACCGUGGCAAUCAACCAGAAAGGCUCAACCCCACUGGAACUUGGCAUAGGCCCCUCCCUCCCAUUCCCCAAGGGGACUGGGCAACGUGGGGAACAUGUGGUUCGUCUCUCCAAGUGCUAUUUUGCUGUUACUCAGACCACAGUGAUCUCAGUUGACUCUCACCAGUAGAAAUGGUGAAAACCCCAAGCUCCUGGUUUUGUAAUUUAGGAGAAGGAAAGGCCAGCCAAAGCUAAAAGGAAACAAGGGGGAGGGGUUUCUUUAGGAUGUGUCUGGGUUCUGUCCUGACCAUCAUUGGUUUAUCUGUGUUGUUCUUGUUGCGGGUAAGAGGGGAUCAGGGCUGAAGCCAUCAACCCUCCUUUUCUUGCCCUCCACUCUAUGCCCAUAAACACAUACACAUAGCAGAAUUCCUUCUGCCUGUCCCUCUUUGUGGAAUGAGAUAUUUCUACACUCGGGAGCCAGAGAAAGCCCGUAGGUCCUCCCCUCAUAGAGCCCGAUGCCCAGGCCCUCAGAAGCGUGUGUCCUUGUUGGUUCUGUUUGGUCCUGGAGGUUGGCCUUUCUGGGCUCUGAGCCUUGUUUGGUGCUGUAGAGGUCAGAAGUGGGCUUUGCCCGCUUCCCAGCCUGGAUUUAGAGUUCUCUCCUCAUCUGCUGCAGCUGAGCUCUCUGUGUGUAAGACUAGUCCAGGUGCUUCUCGUGGUCUUGGACGUCUUCUGCCUUAGCUUCUACCUAGAACUGGCAUCUUGGGGUGGAGACACUACUGGCUGCUCUGAACCUGGCUACCCCAAGGGCUUUUUACUCUGAGCUCUGCUUUCCAGAGCGUCUCACUUCCCUCUCCA
rnacentral:lncRNA from 1 species